rnacentral:rRNA from 1 species
ACAAUGAAGAGUUUGAUCCUGGCUCAGGAUGAACGCUAGCUACAGGCUUAACACAUGCAAGUCGAGGGGCAUCAGGAAGAAAGCUUGCUUUCUUUGCUGGCGACCGGCGCACGGGUGAGUAACACGUAUCCAACCUGCCCUUUACUCGGGGAUAGCCUUUCGAAAGAAAGAUUAAUACCCGAUAGCAUAAUGAUUCCGCAUGGUUUCAUUAUUAAAGGAUUCCGGUAAAGGAUGGGGAUGCGUUCCAUUAGGUUGUUGGUGAGGUAACGGCUCACCAAGCCUUCGAUGGAUAGGGGUUCUGAGAGGAAGGUCCCCCACAUUGGAACUGAGACACGGUCCAAACUCCUACGGGAGGCAGCAGUGAGGAAUAUUGGUCAAUGGGCGUUAGCCUGAACCAGCCAAGUAGCGUGAAGGAUGAAGGCUCUAUGGGUCGUAAACUUCUUUUAUAUAAGAAUAAAGUGCAGUAUGUAUACUGU